GACCAAGGAGUCUAACAUAUAUGCAAGUCAUUGGGAAUGUAAACCCAAAGGCAUAAUGAAAGUAAAGAAUUCGAUUGCGAGUUUGAGGAGAGAUCACGGAUAGGGAGGGGGUUUCGUAAGAUUCAACCUUCCUGUCUUGCGCAUCUCCUGGACGUCUAUACCUCUGAAGGUUGGGCGUACCAAGAGCAUAUACGUUGGGACCCGAAAGAUGGUGAACUAUGCCUGGUCAGAACGAAGUCAGGGGAAACUCUGAUGGAGGUUCGUAGCGAUUCUGACGUGCAAAUCGAUCGUCGGAACUGGGUAUAGGGGCGAAAGACUAAUCRAACCAUCUAGUAGCUGGUUCCCUCCGAAGUUUCCCUCAGGAUAGCUGGCGCUUGAUUAAAUCAGUCUCAUCCGGUAAAGCGAAUGAUUAGAGGCCUUGGGGCCGAAACGACCUCAACCUAUUCUCAAACUUUAAAUGGGUGAGAAGUCAGGCUUGCUUAAUCGAAGCUCUGACAAUGGAUGGUGAGUGCCAAGUGGGCCACUCUUGGUAAGCAGGACUGGCGCUGUGGGAUGAACCAAACGUUGGGUUAAGGCGCCCGAAUCGACGCUCAUCAGAUCCCAUAAAAGGCGUUGGUUGCUUAAGACAGCAGGACGGUGGCCAUGGAAGUCGGAA
rnacentral:rRNA from 1 species